AGCGAACGUUAGCGGCGGGCUUAACACAUGCAAGUCGAGCGAGAAAGCGUCCUUCGGGGCGUUAGUAAAGCGGCGCACGGGUGAGUAACACGUGGAUAACCUACCCUUCGGCGGGGGACAACAGCUCGAAAGGGCUGCUAAUACCGCAUACGUCGGUGACGGCUUCGGCUGUUACCGGGAAAGGUGGCCUCGCAAGGGGCUAUCACCGGAGGAGGGGUCCGCGGCCCAUCAGCUUGUUGGUGAGGUAACGGCUCACCAAGGCUCAGACGGGUAGCUGGUCUGAGAGGAUGAUCAGCCACACUGGGACUGAGACACGGCCCAGACUCCUACGGGAGGCAGCAGUGGGGAAUAUUGGACAAUGGGCGAAAGCCUGAUCCAGCCACGCCGCGUGUGUGAUGAAGGUCUUCGGAUCGUAAAGCACUGUGGAGA
rnacentral:rRNA from 1 species